CCUACGGGUGGCAGCAGUGAGGAAUAUUGGUCAAUGGGCGCGAGCCUGAACCAGCCAAGUCGCGUGAGGGAUGACGGUCCUACGGAUUGUAAACCUCUUUUGCCGGGGAGCAAGCGUGCGUUCGUGAACGCACGUCGAGAGUACCCGGAGAAAAAGCAUCGGCUAACUCCGUGCCAGCAGCCGCGGUAAUACGGAGGAUGCGAGCGUUAUCCGGAUUUAUUGGGUUUAAAGGGUGCGUAGGCGGGAUGCCAAGUCAGCGGUAAAAAUGCGGUGCUCAACGCCGUCGAGCCGUUGAAACUGGGGUUCUUGAGUGGGCGAGAAGUAUGCGGAAUGCGUGGUGUAGCGGUGAAAUGCAUAGAUAUCACGCAGAACCCCGAUUGCGAAGGCAGCAUACCGGCGCCCUACUGACGCUGAGGCACGAAAGCGUGGGUAUCGAACAGGAUUAGAUACCCGAGUAGUC
rnacentral:rRNA from 1 species